UUGAACUGAAGAGUUUGAUCCUGGCUCAGAUUGAACGCUGGCGGCAUGCCUUACACAUGCAAGUCGAACGGCAGCACGGGCUUCGGCCUGGUGGCGAGUGGCGAACGGGUGAGUAAUACAUCGGAACGUGCCCUGUAGUGGGGGAUAACUAGUCGAAAGAUUAG
rnacentral:rRNA from 1 species